rnacentral:rRNA from 1 species
AGUGAACGCUGGCGGUAGGCCUAACACAUGCAAGUCGAACGGCAGCACAGUAAGAGCUUGCUCUUACGGGUGGCGAGUGGCGGACGGGUGAGGAAUACAUCGGAAUCUACUUUUUCGUGGGGGACAACGUAGGGAAACUUACGCUAAUACCGCAUACGACCUACGGAUGAAAGCAGGGGAUCUUCGGACCUUGCGCGAUUGAAUGAGCCGAUGUCGGAUUAGCUAGUUGGCGGGGUAAAGGCCCACCAAGGCGACGAUCCGUAGCUGGUCUGAGAGGAUGAUCAGCCACACUGGAACUGAGACACGGUCCAGACUCCUACGGGAGGCAGCAGUGGGGAAUAUUGGACAAUGGGCGCAAGCCUGAUCCAGCCAUACCGCGUGGGUGAAGAAGGCCUUCGGGUUGUAAAGCCCUUUUGUUGGGAAAGAAAAGCAGCAGGUUAAUACCCCGCUGUUCUGACGGUACCCAAAGAAUAAGCACCGGCUAACUUCGUG